GGAGGCGUAGCUCAGUCGGCAGAGCAACGGACUUUUAAUCCGUAGGUCCCGGGUUCGAGUCCCGGCGCCUUCA
rnacentral:tRNA from 1 species